GAUGAACGCUAGCGGCAGGCUUAAUACAUGCAAGUCGUGGGGCAGCAUGAAUGUAGCAAUACAUUUGAUGGCGACCGGCAAACGGGUGCGGAACACGUACACAACCUUCCUAUAAGUGGGGAAUAGCCCAGAGAAAUUUGGAUUAAUACCCCGUAACAUAAUGAUGUGGCAUCACAUUAUUAUUAUAGCUACGGCGCUUAUUGAUGGGUGUGCGGCUGAUUAGAUAGUUGGCGGGGUAACGGCCCACCAAGUCUACGAUCAGUAGCUGAUGUGAGAGCAUGAUCAGCCACACGGGCACUGAGACACGGGCCCGACUCCUACGGGAGGCAGCAGUAAGGAAUAUUGGUCAAUGGACGCAAGUCUGAACCAGCCAUGCCGCGUGAAGGAUUAAGGUCCUCUGGAUUGUAAACUUCUUUUAUCUGGGACGAAAAAAGGCGAUUCUUCGUCACUUGACGGUACCAGAUGAAUAAGCACCGGCUAACUCCGUGCCAGCAGCCGCCGUAAAAC
rnacentral:rRNA from 1 species